ensembl:lincRNA Gm7160 predicted gene 7160
GGCACAUCCCGCGCGGUCCUAAUGCUUGAUGGGUUCCAGCAGACUGAGGACGUGGGUUUGGGACUUUCGGACCACGGCGAGGUGAGCUUGGCCCGGAGCGGCAGAAGUGGGCGAGGUUCGCGUGGGAGGAGGGACAUCGACUUAGUUUUUCUUGAGAGAUCUGACCGUGCCGUGGCUGCAGACCAUCUUCGCGUCAGCCACCGCCCUGGAUCACGCCAAGUGGGUUCCCAGCCCCUGCCGCCUCGUGAACUCCGCCAAAGUCAGCCACGGGAGAUUACCAUAUUCUAAAACUUCACCUGGACCGUUGGUGUGAACGCUGGGACGAAGAUCCAGGAGUUAGGUCGGGAUGUAGAGUGGUUUUGGGCGGCGAGCGCCCUUGCUCAGGCUGGCUGCAAGGUGCUGCUUUGGGCCGGGUAUCCGGCUGAGGGGACCCUGUUGCUGGGGGUGCUUGGCCUAAUGGUUGCAUCUGGCUUGCAAGGUUAAGUUUAAGGACGCCCUCCUGCCCCAAAUCUAUGGUUUGCGCAAUCACUUAUUGCCUACGUUUUAGUUCCUAUCCGUGAACAUUUGGAAUUCUUGAGCUGGUGUGAAUUUCCUGUAACUCUUUUAAACAAUUUAAUAAGUUACUGUCUUGUCAGGGUUUUAAGUUUUUAAGCGAUAUUACAUUUUUAAGUUUUGUAGACACCGCCCUCCCUAUGACUCUUUCAGUGAUAUGUAUAGCCCAACCAUAAAAAUCAAUUUAAAAACCAAACCAACCCAAGGGGCCAUGAUUGCUCUCAGAGCCAUCAGGACCAUCCUGUCUCAUUUGUGCUGGAGCCUGACUGCCGGUCAAGAGUUCUUGGCAUGCUGUUUGUCAGUCCAUGAUUGUAAAUAAAUAUAAAUCUUGUGCCCAGGGGCGGGGGAAACAGGAUUAUUAUUAUUAUUAUUAUUAUUAUUAUUAUUUGAGGGUCCAUAAUAGUAGUUUCUUUGUGUGUUUGCUUUUUAAAAUUUCCGACAGUUUUAAAUAAAGAACUUAUACCAC